rnacentral:lncRNA from 1 species
CAACGACACGAAAAAAGACGAGAAAAAUGCGCUUUAGACAGAAAAGAAGUCAGGGCUGUGCGGCGUCUUGAUCAUCCGCCGAGGGGUUGGUGGCGAUGGCACCGUCGGGUUUGAUGCGCGUGACGUCGCCCGUCAGUCGACCGUCGGCCCAUUCGCACUGGUAAAAGGUGCCGUCCGUGUCGAUAUGGGCGCCCCCUCCGCGGCCCAGGCCACGCCAGCGGCCCACGGUCACGCGACCGUCGCACUCUGUCUGCACGCCGGGACCCUUGCGCUGGCCCUUGCGAAACUGGCCGACAAAGCGCACGCCGUUGGCAUAGACCAUCUGGCCAAACCCGUCCUCUAGGUCGUCCUGCCACAUGCCCUGGUAGCGGUCGCCGUUGGACCAUGUGUAGGUGCCGGCGCCGUGCUUUUUGCCCGCGCGCCACUCGCCAGUGUAGCGCUCGCCACCGGCCCAUGCACAUGCGCCAUGGCCGUCUCGUGCGCCCGCGGCCCACGCACCUGUGUAGACGCCCUGACCGGCAAUCUCUUCAACGCCAUGGCCAUGUUCGCGGCCGCCGACCCAUGUGCCCUCAAAGGUCGAGAGCACACCGUGCCUAUUAAGGAUCUGGUCGGUUUUGCAUGCGGCGGCGGCCUCGUCUGCCAUUUCCACCGCUAGGCCAUAGCCGUGGGGCUCGCCAUUGACGAGGUCGCCCAUAAAGACGACCGACUCGCGUACUGAGCGGUGUGGCCCAGUCGCUGCCGGUACGGCGGGCGCCGAGGCCACCGCACGGUAGAGCCAACGCCAGUCCUUGCCAUAGUUGGCAAACUGUCGAUGCAGUGGAUCGCCAUAACACAGAGUAUACAAGUGACGCCACAGACUAUCGUCGCCGCAGAUGCGCGCCAUCCGACGGCACGUGGCCUCGAUACGGCAGAUGGCUGAGGCUGAUCGUGUCGCCACGGCAAUGGCCACGAUCAACUCGUCGGGCAGCACGAGAAAGGCAUCGUUUGGCGGCGUUGGAUCAUCUAGAAGGAUUGCGGCGUGGCGACGCCGAUGAGAAGAUGCACACGAGUGCCUUUCACAAUGACGAGACUCGGUCAUGCGUCGCCACCAACGCCACCCUUUGGGACUGCGACAAUGACGACGACGCCAACAAAAGAGCGCGCGUCCUCCCCUCGGCAUACUGUAUGCUGCUAUAAAUCGGCGCCUAUUGGCGGUACGCGGCAUCUUGGUUUUUUUGGAAAAAAAACCCAAAAGGCGCGGCUGCUGGUCGGCGCUGGCGCCCUUUUGCCUCCUCGUCGACUUUUCGCUUGCGAGGCCUCUGUGUCUCUCUUUUUUUCCAGUAGUGGCGGCGCCCCGUUUUUGCGCCGCCGGCGGUUUGUGCUCGCGGUCCAGUUGCAAAAAAAAAAGAAGCGCAUCAUUGGUCCGUUGUUGGAGCAAAAAAAGAAGGUGCAGCGCCUUUUCUUUCCCCAUGCGAGGGCGAGGAGGCCGUCGAUCCCGC